UGGGGAAUAUUGCGCAAUGGGCGAAAGCCUGACGCAGCAACGCCGCGUGGGGGAUGAAUGCCUUCGGGUUGUAAACCCCUUUCAGCAGGGACGAAGCGAAAGUGACGGUACCUGCAGAAGAAGCGCCGGCUAACUACGUGCCAGCAGCCGCGGUAAUACGUAGGGCGCAAGCGUUGUCCGGAAUUAUUGGGCGUAAAGAGCUCGUAGGUGGUUUGUUACGUCUGCUGUGAAAACCUAGGGCUUAACCCUGGGCCUGCAGUGGAUACGGGCAGACUAGAGGUAGGUAGGGGAGAAUGGAAUUCCCGGUGUAGCGGUGAAAUGCGCAGAUAUCGGGAGGAACACCGGUGGCGAAGGCGGUUCUCUGGGCCUUACCUGACACUGAGGAGCGAAAGCGUGGGGAGCGAACAGGAUUAGAUACCCCCGUAGUCC
rnacentral:rRNA from 1 species